rnacentral:rRNA from 1 species
GCCAGACUCCUACGGGAGGCAGCAGUGGGGAAUAUUGCACAAUGGGGGAAACCCUGAUGCAGCGACGCCGCGUGAGUGAAGAAGUAUUUCGGUAUGUAAAGCUCUAUCAGCAGGGAAGAAAAUGACGGUACCUGAUUAAGAAGCCCCGGCUAACUACGUGCCAGCAGCCGCGGUAAUACGUAGGGGGCAAGCGUUAUCCGGAUUUACUGGGUGUAAAGGGAGCGUAGACGGUGAUGCAAGUCAGAAGUGAAAGCCCGGGGCUCAACUCCGGGACUGCUUUUGAAACUGUGUGACUGGAGUGCAGGAGAGGUAAGCGGAAUUCCUGGUGUAGCGGUGAAAUGCGUAGAUAUCAGGAGGAACACCAGUGGCGAAGGCGGCUUACUGGACUGUAACUGACGUUGAGGCUCGAAAGCGUGGGGAGCAAACAGGAUUAGAUACCCCAGUAUUC